GUUUUUCUUGGUGGCUGGAUAUGAGGGGCGGAGCCCAUUGUGGAGGCUGCAGGGACAGUGGGUUCCUUCUUCCUGCUCCACAGGCAUUCUAACAAGGAGCUGAUUUUCUAGGCUUUGUUAAAAUCCCCAUGGCAGAGCCAACAAAGCCCGAAGGGGAGAGAUCGCAGACCGCAGGUGCCAGGGAAACAGCAUCCGUGGAAAGCCCACAGGAUCAACGAGCUGUGACAGAGAUUUAAACUGUAACAUGGAAGGUGAGCUGGUCCCAGCACCUGGAAGGAAGCUCCCUCACCACCAUCCCAAGCUCCUAGGGCACAGAAGGUGAGCCACACGGGUGCCAGAAGCAAUCCCCUCCACCCCGUGGAAAUGAGAUGACACAUGAACAAGCCUCAAAAACAGACUUCUGGAUAACCUACAGCAACCCCUAAGGGAAACGAGAUGGAACACUCUGAUACUCAACCACCUGGACUCUCUGAACUGGCAACAAAAGAG
rnacentral:lncRNA from 1 species